AACGCGAAGAACCUUACCUGGGCUUGACAUAUAGAGGAUCGCUACAGAGAUGUGGUUUCCCUUGUGGCUUCUACACAGGUGGUGCAUGGUUGUCGUCAGCUCGUGUCGUGAGAUGUUGGGUUAAGUCCCGCAACGAGCGCAACCCUUGUCUUAUGUUGCCAGCACGUUAUGGUGUGGACUCGUGAGAGACUGCCGGGGUCAACUCGGAGGAAGGUGGGGAUGACGUCAAAUCAUCAUGCCCCUUAUGUCCAGGGCUUCACACAUGCUACAAUGGCCGGUACAGAGGGCUGCGAUGCCGUGAGGCGGAGCGAAUCUCUUAAAGCCGGUCUCAGUUCGGAUUGGGGUCUGCAACUCGACCCCAUGAAGUCGGAGUCGCUAGUAAUCGCAGAUCAGCACGC
rnacentral:rRNA from 1 species